AUUGAACGCUGGCGGCAGGCCUAACACAUGCAAGUCGAGCGAGCGGCGGACGGGUGAGAAAUGUAUGGGGACUGCCCGAUAGAGGGCGAUAACUACCGGAAACGGUAGCUAAUACCGCAUACUAUCGGAUAACCCAUAUGGGAUUAGCUAGUAGGUGAGGUAAUGGCUCACCUAGGCGACGAUCCCUAGCUGGUCUGAGGGGAUGAUCAGCCACAUUAGGACUGAGACAAGGCCCAGACUCCUACGGAGGCAGCAGUGGGGAAUAUUGCACAAUGGACGCAAGCCUGAUGCAGCCAUGCCGCGUGGGUGAAGAAGGCCUUAGGGUUGUAAAGUACUUUCAGUCGGGAGGCGUUACCGACAGGAGAAGCGCCAGCUAACUCCGUGCCAGCAGCCGCGGUAAUUC
rnacentral:rRNA from 1 species